rnacentral:rRNA from 1 species
UACGGAGGGUGCAAGCGUUAUCCGGAUUUACUGGGUUUAAAGGGUGCGUAGGUGGGUUGGUAAGUCAGUGGUGAAAUCUUCGAGCUUAACUCGGAAACUGCCAUUGAUACUAUCAAUCUUGAAUUAUCUGGAGGUAAGCGGAAUAUGUCAUGUAGCGGUGAAAUGCUUAGAUAUGACAUAGAACACCCAUUGCGAAGGCAGCUUACUACGGAUAUAUUGACACUGAGGCACGAAAGCGUGGGGAUCAAACAGGA